CCCCUCUCAGGGUCACAGCUGGAGAGUUCCCAGUACUCUACCAGUCUUGACUACGGGAGGGAGAGUCAGGCAGAGACAUAUGCAUUCCAUUCCUAGCUUGGACAGUGGCUAGCGAGUGGAAGGCCAUCUGCAACGUCA
rnacentral:snoRNA from 1 species